UAGGGAAUCUUCGGCAAUGGACGAAAGUCUGACCGAGCAACGCCGCGUGAGUGAAGAAGGUUUUCGGAUCGUAAAACUCUGUUGUUAGAGAAGAACAAGGACGUUAGUAACUGAACGUCCCCUGACGGUAUCUAACCAGAAAGCCACGGCUAACUACGUGCCAGCAGCCGCGGUAAUACGUAGGUGGCAAGCGUUGUCCGGAUUUAUUGGGCGUAAAGCGAGCGCAGGCGGUUUCUUAAGUCUGAUGUGAAAGCCCCCGGCUCAACCGGGAAGUGUCAUUGGAAACUGGGAGACUUGAGUGCAGAAGAGGAGAGUGGAAUUCCAUGUGUAGCGGUGAAAUGCGUAGAUAUAUGGAGGAACACCAGUGGCGAAGGCGGCUCUCUGGUCUGUAACUGACGCUGAGGCUCGAAAGCGUGGGGAGCAAACAGG
rnacentral:rRNA from 1 species